AAUCCCUGAAAGCAGUGCCUGGAGAGGAUGAUUCUGCAGUGCUGGCUGGAAGGAGUGGAGAGGGUAUUCCCGUCACUUAAGGCGCCUCCCGGUUUGGCCAGAAUCUACUUCACCCCACUACUCUCCUACGCUCCCUCUCACCACCUCCACGGGGGCAGAAGAGGAGGACACCGGGACUCUGGGAGGCGACGCGCUUUGCCCAAAGUGACUCAACGUGUUGGCGCUCAGGGGCGGCGGGCUGCACCCCCCCCCCCCCCCCAGCGGGGUCUGCACUCCCUGGGGCUGGGGGUGCGGAG